CCCCAGUUUUAAUGAACAUCUGGUUUCUUUUAAGUGAGUCAAAAUAAACUCUAAGUAAUUAAAUCUCAAAGAAAUAUUAAUUACUACUUUUGAAGUGAAACAAAGCAACAGGGUCUCUCAUUUUACACUGAAUCCCUUUAGAAACAGUUGGGAGUUUUUUCUUACCCACAGUUAAGAUAUACUAAGUAUCUUACACUAAAAUCUAUUAUUUUCAAAUACUCUAAAUAUAUUUAAUCUUAGGCAUACUUACAGCUGCUCACCUUUCCACACAUAUGUGACUGUCUUUUAUUCCAUUUACUGCCUAUGAUUAAUUGCAUUAAGGUAGUUCUUUCUCUUGGAAGUCUUUCUGAAACUUACUGAAUAGAUUCCUGCCUUAAGCUUCUUAUGAGACAAUUUAAGAAGAACUAAGAUAAACAGCUUUCACAGAGACAAGCCAAGGGGCUUUGGCUGUAAUCCAUCUUGUGUUGGGCCAGGCACCCUUAAUGUCAAAGAGCAUUAAGGAGACAUUAUAAAUACUCAAAUGGGCUCCAAAA
rnacentral:lncRNA from 1 species